CUCCUCCUCCUCGGGAUCGGGCAGCUUCAUCAGCACCUUCAUCUUCAUCAAGUUAAAGCGAUGUCCACCACCCAAGAGAAAAAUAUACAAGACACAAACAGUUCGUUAAUUAACUGGAAGCAUCCACUCCACACACUCAAUUGUGGACUUUGACUAUUUACAUGGUGUCAGAAGUGGAAUUCGAACCCACGCCUCCAAUCGAAGCUGACCAGCGCUCCCACCUUGACAUUUUUCAACCUGAAGCAUAUCCCGGAGAAACAUAACAUACAGAAACGAUUUCAAACCACUUAAACCAUUACUACUGGGCCAAGUCAUUCGUUUGCAAACUUCCAUGGGACAUUCCCAUUUGGGUUGCGUUGUUGGCCUGGCUGAAGAACCACGAUCUUACCUUGUUGACUUUGAUGGCACCCUGUACCAUCAGAGCCGCCAACACUUGCUAGCUUUGAAGGAGCCACGUCCACCACCAGCCGAUCCUUAUGCUCCACCUCUAUUAUUUCAGCCAUCUGCUGCCGCCACCAGUUCCAGCAUGUCCCUGACCCCACCACGACUGGCGGCUAUGACUAACCACAAUACUACCUCUCCUGCAUGCUCCCCCUGUCGGUCACCACGGAUGUCCCCUGCUGCUUUCUCACUUCCGGGUUCACCACCUCCUUUUAAUCUUUCUGGCGAAGGGGGAGAGGGCUUGGUAGACCGCCUGACAGAUACGACGAGUAUGUUUGAAUUCUUGCUAUAUGUGUGUUUACGAUAUUCACUCUUUACGGGGAAGGAUGUAGAUUGGUUUAUGCAUGAAAGCCAAUCAUAGUAGAAUAGCAUCACUAACCCCACCCUAUUGUAUGAUUCAUACUAACACCCACUUCCUACACUAGUCAGUCUUGGAAGCGGUCACGAUGUACUAACAACCAACGACCUGCUGUACCGUUAUAAUAUCGGUACUGAUUAAAGAUGAUCUUGAACUACA